rnacentral:lncRNA from 1 species
GUUUAGUUAUUCCUCUUUUAUGGGAACCUGCAAAUUAAUAAGAAAGCAAAGCAUAUUUUAGUCGACACUCUAUACAUCCAUGAACUAUUCUAACUAAGUGCAAUAGACACACACACACAUAUAUAUACUCAAAACCAACGUACAGAAGAAGAAGUGCUUUGUUCUCCAUCCACCACCUUCCUUGGCCUGCCAACCUUCCUCUUCACUAAGGUACUCCCUUGUUCCCCAUCCUCCUUAUUCUUCCUUGGCCUUCCUACCUUCUUCUUUUCUCCCGGUCGCACUACGGAACUACUCUCUUCUUCUGUGUUCUUCUUUCUUGGUGUCGGAGUGGGUUUGUUCGGAUAUAUUUCAUAGAGUAUAAAAUCAGUUACCUCGAUAACUGAUCGAAAUGAUCCCUUAGAUUCCCUAUGAAUGUAGUACUG